rnacentral:rRNA from 1 species
CAAUCAAACCGGGAGAUAGCUGGUUCUCCCCGAAAGCUAUUUAGGUAGCGCCUCGUGAAUUCAUCUCCGGGGGUAGAGCACUGUUUCGGCUAGGGGGCCAUCCCGGCUUACCAACCCGAUGCAAACUGCGAAUACCGGAGAAUGUUAUCACGGGAGACACACGGCGGGUGCUAACGUCCGUCGUGAAGAGGGAAACAACCCAGACCGCCAGCUAAGGUCCCAAAGUCAUGGUUAAGUGGGAAACGAUGUGGGAAGGCCCAGACAGCCAGGAUGUUGGCUUAGAAGCAGCCAUCAUUUAAAGAAAGCGUAAUAGCUCACUGGUCGAGUCGGCCUGCGCGGAAGAUGUAACGGGGCUAAACCAUGCACCGAAGCUGCGGCAGCGAACGUAUCACCCAAGACAACUUUACGGAGUUGACGAUUGACGGAGCGAAGCGACGUCAAAGCGUUCAUUAAAGUCGAGUUGGCUUAGGGAUACGUUCGUUGGGUAGGGGAGCGUUCUGUAAGCCUGUGAAGGUGUGUCGUGAGGCAUGCUGGAGGUAUCAGAAGUGCGAAUGCUGACAUAAGUAACGAUAAAGCGGGUGAAAAGCCCGCUCGCCGGAAGACCAAGGGUUCCUGUCCAACGUUAAUCGGGGCAGGGUGAGUCGACCCCUAAGGCGAGGCCGAAAGGCGUAGUCGAUGGGAAACGGGUUAAUAUUCCCGUACUUGGUGUUACUGCGAAGGGGGGACGGAGAAGGCUAUGUUGGCCGGGCGACGGUUGUCCCGGUUUAAGCGUGUAGGUGUGUGUUCCAGGUAAAUCCGGUUCACUUUAACACUGAGGCGUGACGACGAGGCACUACGGUGCUGAAGCAACAAAUGCCCUGCUUCCAGGAAAAGCCUCUAAGCAUCAGGUAACAUCAAAUCGUACCCCAAACCGACACAGGUGGUCAGGUAGAGAAUACCAAGGCGCUUGAGAGAACUCGGGUGAAGGAACUAGGCAAAAUGGUGCCGUAACUUCGGGAGAAGGCACGCUGACACGUAGGUGAAGUGAUUUACUCAUGGAGCUGAAGUCAGUCGAAGAUACCAGCUGGCUGCAACUGUUUAUUAAAAACACAGCACUGUGCAAACACGAAAGUGGACGUAUACGGUGUGACGCCUGCCCGGUGCCGGAAGGUUAAUUGAUGGGGUCAGCGCAAGCGAAGCUCCUGAUCGAAGCCCCGGUAAACGGCGGCCGUAACUAUAACGGUCCUAAGGUAGCGAAAUUCCUUGUCGGGUAAGUUCCGACCUGCACGAAUGGCGUAAUGAUGGCCAGGCUGUCUCCACCCGAGACUCAGUGAAAUUGAACUCGCUGUGAAGAUGCAGUGUACCCGCGGCAAGACGGAAAGACCCCGUGAACCUUUACUAUAGCUUGACACUGAACAUUGAGCCUUGAUGUGUAGGAUAGGUGGGAGGCUUUGAAGUGUGGACGCCAGUCUGCAUGGAGCCGACCUUGAAAUACCACCCUUUAAUGUUUGAUGUUCUAACGUGGACCCGUAAUCCGGGUUGCGGACAGUGUCUGGUGGGUAGUUUGACUGGGGCGGUCUCCUCCUAAAGAGUAACGGAGGAGCACGAAGGUUGGCUAAUCCUGGUCGGACAUCAGGAGGUUAGUGCAAUGGCAUAAGCCAGCUUGACUGCGAGCGUGACGGCGCGAGCAGGUGCGAAAGCAGGUCAUAGUGAUCCGGUGGUUCUGAAUGGAAGGGCCAUCGCUCAACGG